UACAGCAACACCUACAUCAUGUUUUCUAACUCUUUUCUGGAUUCCAGCUCUCAGUUCUGAGGUUGACAGAUCCCUGGAUUACAUGAACUGUCAAUUUGUAAGCCUGCAUGCUUGGAGACUAUGGAACUGGUGCAAAUUUCCCCCUCUGCCAUUUAAAUCUCCUACUGAGUUUUCAACAUGAAACUCAAACUGGAAGCACUGGAAGGAGGAGAAAUGUGAGAAAGAAGUGAAUAAAGUGGUAUGAUGAAUUCAAUAUUCGUGUCCUUGGGCAAUAUGGAAAGAUUUAUACCCUAAUCCCUCUCCUGAAGUAUACCAAUUCUGUUUUAGUAAGAGACCAAAUGACUCCAAUUAUAUUUUCCAGCRAAUAAUGGUUGCAGAGUAUAUUUAUGCUACUCUGCUUAUAAGCUCAUUCCCAUAAUACUUAUUUUAAAAACUAUUUUACUACAGAUAUUUAACACUCACAAAAUGUUUUGUCCUUUAAAUGUUAUAGAGAACAGCUGUCAAAAAUCAGUGCUAUUCUGGCUCUUGCCRUUUGCUAGGGCCACUGCCUACAGGUAUUUGUCCUCUGUGAGGGUCAUCUGUACCUGGCAGGUAGGUUCUCAUGAAGAUUUUGAGACCUCCAGAUCCUCACCUCCACAGAAACCUUCUAACUCAUAUAUAUUUAAUAUUGUCUCCUAGUUCCCUGACAAUGUAACUUGCAGAGAACCUUGCUACUGUGUGUUUCYUCAUCAGCCGUUGCUCCAUGACACUUUUCUUUUCUAAUGGCCCAURUACAAUGAAGAUUUCAUGGCGCGGAAGAAGCUGCUAAUGAUGCCAGCUUAAGCACCCUUACUUUAUCUAGAAAUUUACUGUACAGUUGAGAAAACAACAUGCAGAAAAGCAUCCUCCUACCCUCACUUCAUAAACCGCCUUGACAUAUAUACAUACAUACCUACAUAACACACAUACACAAGCACACACACGCUGGUGCAAGCAUGCAUGCCGACCCACACACCUUCCCUGACAAUUUUGGAGCUCCAAAACAGCUUGUGCGAAUACGGCAAUAAAAUCCCAUUACUGUAUUAUCCCCUUGGCAGUAUGUUUUUUUCUGCACUAUGUAGAACAGUAAAAGAUAUGUUCAAAUAUUUAAUUAUGGAGCAGUGUAUUAGUAUUCCACACCGAUGUGGCUGUGUUUGUAGUUUGGCAAAUUUACUCGCCUUGUUGUCGGAUGGCUUGUUUUCUGAAUCUAAUACUCCACUGAUCUCUUGCGAUCGGUCUAGCUCAAAACAUGAAGGAGUUGGAACAUGCUUUGGAAGAGAAGCAUCCAGUUUACUCUUCCUACAUGCACAGGACUGUCUGGCCAGGAGGAAAAAUGAAAUCUGUCUACCAAACAACCUCAAGCCUGCGUUGUAAGGAUACUAUAGGAGGGGAAAAUGUGGAAAACUACUUGGUGUGCGUCUGUAAGGCUUGGGAUUGAGGCUCUUGUGCCUCAAACACAGCCAUAAUUGUAAGUUCUGAGUAUGUAUAUUCUAUUGCUACAUCUUACCACGUGUGAAUUUUGUGUUAAAAAGGGCUUUAAACUUGAUCUUUAUUUUAUUAUGCUAAUUUUUUGUUAAUUCUUUAGUGUCUUUCACACAAAAUGAUUGUUUUUUACUGUCAGCCUUAACCCCAUUUUAACUCAAGUUUUCAUCCAAAGGGAAAAGUUUUAUAUUUUAUGACUUUCUCUCUUCAUUUGUGCAGAGUUAAAUUUUUGUUAUGCAUUUAUUAAUAGUAAUUGCUUCUGGAAACUGAUUGUUUUGUUAGUAAUAUUUUUGUAUAUUUUAAGGUUGGAAAUAUCAUAAUAAAAAGGAAAAGAAAAACA
ensembl:lncRNA